CUGUGCAGAGACUGAGGUUGUCAGCUGUACAGAGCUCAAUGAUAUUUUACAGAAAAAAUUCCCCGAGGUCCACCGAGUCAAGAGCUAUCAACACUGGUUCUGUGGACAAAGUCCUGGGAAAGAUAUAUGCCGAGGAGACUCUGGUGGAGGAGUGGUUCAUAAUGGCAGGAUUUAUGGGGUCUCUUCUUUUGUGGGAGAUCCGGACUUUGUAUGCAGAGCACCGGCUGCCUUCAUGGACCUCUGUGAUCCUGAGUAUGCAGAUUGGAUCAGGAAAACUAUCAACCCAUAAAAAGCUGUAAGGUCUGCUGUGCACGACAUCUGUGAAUCUGAGUAAUUUGG